CAGGAAUAUCAAUCCCAAAUCUAUCCCAAGGAACAAGAAAUGUCAAUCCCAAAUCCAUCCAAAGGAACAGCAGUGUCAAUCCCAAAUCCCAAAGAACAGCAGUGUCAAUCCCAAAUCCCAAAGAAAAAAAAUGUCAAUCCCAAGUCUAUCCCAAGGAAUGGGAAUGUCAAUCCCAAAUCCAUCCCAAAGAAAACAACGUCAAUCCUAAGUCCACCCCAAGGAACAGGAAUGUCAAUCCCAAAUCCCAAAGAACAGGAAUGUCAAUCCCAAAUCCACCCCAAGGAAUGGGAAUGUCAAUCCCAAAUCCCAAGGAACAGCAAUGCCAAUCCCAAAUGCAUCCCAAAGAAAACAAUGUCAAUCCCAGCACAAAGGAACACCCCCAGCAGCUUUACCAUAAAAAUGAAGGUUUUUAUUCAAGAAGUACAAAUUUGAUGGUACCAGCCAUCUUUGAAAGCCAUUCCCACGAGGCAGAGAGGAGCCAGGGCCGGGCCCCCUGCUCAGAGCACACGGGAGCAAAGUGGCACCAAGGUGUCCCAGGUGUGCCAGGUGUCCCCAGGUGUCCCAGGUUCCCAGGUGUCCCAGGUGUCCCAGGUGUCCCCAGGUGUGGCAGGUGUCCCCAGCACCGUCCUGGCCAGCAAUGCUCAAAUCCACCUCUGCUGAAACAUUCCCUGGACUUGAGAGGCACAAAAAGGGGUUUGAAGCCAAGACCAGUCUGUUGUAUCCACCAAGCCACCAGCUCCAGUUUGUUUCAGUUUUCCGUUGCCUUAAAUUGUCUCCAGCCUUUGGAGCAGGUACUGAUUUCCUAAUGGGGAAGAAAAAAAUAAAAUCUGGGGAUGAGCAGGUGCAGGAUUUUCUGGAGCUCAAGGUGAGUGAAAGGUUUUAAGGCAGGAGUCAGGGUUUGAAGUUCUCUUUGCCCCACGGCUCUGAGUGGUCUUCGUGUGGAAAAUGAACAAACCCAGAGUUGCUCUGGACAAAUUUUCCAUGGAAAAUCCAGCAGACUCGUUGGUUAAAGGUCUCAAAGUCCACUUGAAGAAGCCUUUUGGUUAAAACAUCUCCUUUCCCAGCUGCCUGCCUGCUGUAGGCUCAGUGAAGCAUCUCCCCUGGGAAGGAGAGCCCCAGCUCCACCCCUACCCAGGUGGGUGGAAUUGGGGAGAGGAGAGGCACCUGCAGGACACAGCAAUCCCAAAAUAUCCCUGGGAAGGGAAAUCUUGGAGCCCAUUUGAGUAUCCAGACCAGCACAAGUGUUUGUGGCUGCAGAGGGACCAGCAGGACAUUCAGCAUUUGGGGAGGAAACACAAAUGUGGGUGCAGGCAGUUCCAAUUCCCAGGAAUCUGUGAGCAGCCACCACAUCCAGGGGGUGGAGCAGGAUUUGCUGUUUCCCAAGGAAGCUGCAGCGUGGACAAAGCUCAUCCCCACAGCCAAGGCAGGUUGGUUUUUUUGUUGUUGUUGUUUUUUUUAAACACCUUUCUCAAGCAUCUCUAAUCCCAAGAA
rnacentral:lncRNA from 12 species